AUGCUGUGGUUUCUCUUCAGAUUGCAAAAAUCUUUUGCCUUACUAAAGAUUUCCGUGGAAAGGAGCAUUUAUUUUAAUGAAUGCCCUGUCAUUUAUCUCCCAGGUGACUCUCAGCAGUCUCU
rfam:Alligator sinensis unplaced genomic scaffold scaffold264_1, whole genome shotgun sequence